GCUGUUGGAUCGCAAAAUUGUUAUAUUUUCUAUCCCUUUAUCGGGGAAAUAACUCGCUCAUCUUGCAGUAUUCUGCCUGUUUUCCCACUCUCGCUACAAAGCGGUUAAAAGAAUGUUGCCAGGGAAAUGUCUCAAAUCAGAGACAUUACCGUAGAAAUUGGCAAGAGUCGGAAAUUCACAACGGCGGAUCGAACAGCAGUCGAAGAUGCAAGAUCCAACCCGCCGACCCGGUCCGUCUGUGUACACAGCCAGGAUUUUCCGGCGCCGGUGCUGAACCGGCUGCCCGUCUGAGGGGUGGAUAUUUUUUACAGUGUAGGUUUCUACGACUGGAGGGGGCUUGGGAGGAGAGUGGGAGGGGGGCUCUGACAGGCACAAUUUACAUUGAGCUCGCCCCGCGCUGCUAUUUACUUUGAAACCUGAUUAGUAUGGGCCGUCUAUUGUCACCAAAAAGAGGAAGAAACCCUGGAUAGAAUAGCGAAAAAAGCGGGUUAAAGGCGAGAGAGAGAGAAACAGAGAGAGAGAGCGAGAGAGAGAGAGAGAAAGAGAGAGAGGAGGUGGGGGACAAAGCUUUUAAGCACGACAAAUAAAACCAAAAGCUUUGCGCUGCGACCAAAAGGGGGGAUUCUGACUCAGAUUUUUUCCCCCCUUAAAGUUUCAGAAUGCCUUGUCUCGGACUGUUAUCUUUAUUAUUAAACUAACGGGGGUCUCUGCUGUUGGGAGCGGAUUAAUAUUUUCACACGCUGUUUUUUGUCCUUGGCAUGCGCAUUGCGGUACAGCAUCGUCUGUAAUCGGCACCAGUUUCGCUCAUUAAAACUUAAAAUUUAGUUUAAGAGCAGUUUAGGGGAAAAAAAAAACCAUCACUGUGCAGAAUGAUGCGCAAACGCCGCCGUUGUGCUGGAAGCCUUUUCAGAUGCGGGGGAAUCUCUUGAAAUUCGGAGCGACGUUUAACAAUUGCCAACAUCUCACAGUCGCACAACCACUUCAAUAGGAGUAGUUUUUUUUUAUGUGUGUGUUAAUAAUGACAUUAAUUCAAAAUCGAGCGAAGUUACGGGGAAUUUGCACGGAGAUUCCAGCUUUUAUGCAUCAGUGUUUCUGAAGGCGUCUCAGACUCAAAAAUGUCUGGAUCGCGCUGCCAUCUAGCGUACGUUGUGCAAUUACAUCCACAUAACACCCCAACGUGCAAGCCAUCAAACUUGCAUUUUUAAGCGCUUAAAUAGAUCUUAGAUAAUAAUUAAAAAGCUCGAACGUGCGUAGAAUUGUCUUGUGUACUUUUAUAGUUCAUAAAAAGUGAAUUUCACAGGUUAAAGAUAUCGGAAGACAUUAAUAAAUUAUUAAGAAAACAUGAACAUGCAUUGAUUAGAGUAUCAUAAUUCAUAAUUAAUGUUUAAACAGUGCUUCCUAAUUAAAAUGACGCUCUGUUUAUAUAAAACCAAGAUGCAAAAAAUUCCAGUUGUAUCCAUAAGCUUAGGAAAUAAUAACGCAACACUCAAAUACAUAAAAGUACUUUAACACAACAAAGCACGCAUAAGCACGUCUAGACUCAAACAGAGAUAUAAGGAGAUAUAACAUAGCGUUAAUAUAUGGAAGUGCCUCUGUUUGAAUGCGCAUUCAGGAGGGAUGGCUUGUUUUUUAAGUAUUCAAUAAGAGCGCUCUCUCUCCCCGUCCCUGUCUCGGACACACACCGUGGAAACUCUCCGGCCAUGUCUCCAGCAUUCUGAAAAGGUGAAACCAAUAAGAUUAAAUCGGACAAUGCAUUUUUUUUUGCCCCCUUUCUUCCCCCUUUGGUGUAUCAUUAAGAUUUAACUCCGCACAUUUUGGUAAAAGAAUGGGGGUCCGCAUGAGGGAAGAAGAGGAGAGAGAAGAGAGGACAAGAGUGAGAGGGGGAAGCGAAUAGGAAGCGGGGUAGAUAUAUUAGAGAGGCUCUGAUAGAAACCUGCAUGUGGAGAAAGUGGACGGGUGGGAUGUUGGAAGAAGGAGAAGAAGCACCGGUGCAGGAGCGGCUGCUGUGCAGUCACAGAGAAGGCUCACAGCGCUGUAGCUGCAGGAGGCGUCCGAACAAACGCUGAAGGAGGACUGAGAUGCUGGGAUGGGGUUUUCCUUAAUGCUGUUUGAUUUUAGGAAGAGGUUGUCCCUAUUUAGUAGGACAGGGGUUUAUGUGCUGGAUAAAUUGAGGAUUAAAAUUUGAUUCAUCCUUAUUGCCCUUUAGAAAUCCCAUUUCCAAUUUUAUAUUGGCUUCUUUGAAAUUAAGAUGUGGAAAAGAGUGUAGUUUGAUUUUCUGGGAAUCUAACAUCAGCGACUUUCACGGCAGGAAUCCAAAAUGAAAUUAUUUUGAAGUGAUAGUGAUAUAAAUGUAAAAACCUAUCAUGGACUCUGCUGGUUUAACUGUGACAAGAUUAAAAGAAUCAGUGACAAAAUAAUAGCUUUACAAAGUUUGUUUAUACCUUUUACUUGUUGUAAGCACAUAAGUGACAUGAUAUGAAAACAACACAAAUUUCCGUAAUCUCUUCUAGAAAUGCACCAAUCAGGAUUUUCUGACGAUAUUGAAUUUCAAUUUUGGUCAAUUGUUCUGAUCUGCCAAUAUUUAUUUAUUUUUUUUUCGUAUUCCAAUUUUUUCUGGUCAGUUCUGUGACAGAUCAUAGAGGAAUAGUGUCGUUUGAUGGAGAUAGUAAUUUUGAAUUCAAUAGAAAGCAAAGAAUUAAAAAAAUAAUCAAACAUUUCCCCCUUUUUUGUUCCUAUCAAACUCCAAAAAGUUCCUCUUUAUGGAGGGUUUAAGUUGAUGUCUUUAUAGAGUGAAAAUGGUGUGAGUUUAUACCUGUGAUAGUUGGGUAUAAACUCACACAGCGGAAAAGUUAUUAAGUCAGAUUUCCCCUGAAUCUGACUUUUUUCUACUAUUGAACGUUAAUAGUAGAAUACUGUGAUUAUAUAUUGGGCAACGCAAGCGCUAACAUCAUUCUCACUUGAUUUCAAGAUUUUCACUCUGAAUCCCAUUCACAAUUUUACAUUCCUUUUUUUUCCAUCAUGUAAAUUAUUGGACUUAUUUCACGCUUUAUGGCUGGAAAUGACUCAAGGUGUUCCACAGCACAAAGUAAGAGACUACAGUUUGCUUUAGCCCCAUCGCAACAGAUCAGGAAAAACAAGCAGAGAAUGACCAUUAUUGAUGAUUUGUGCAGACGGACCUCAGACGAUCUUGAAUUAUGUGUGAGAGCAAAAGAUAGACACUUGCACAUUGCUGUGUUUACUUCGGCCUUGUGUAUGUGUGUGUGUGUCAGUUUUCCCUCAGAUGUUCCUUGUGACCUUUGACUCUGGAGCCGGGGUCAAACCCUGACAAAUGAGACGGUUGAGCUCUGAGCAGAGCAGCAAACAUUCCACAACCAUCUUCUGUCCUCCUUCUCCUACUCCUUACAUCACUCACCCCUCUCUCUCCAUCUCCUCUUUAAGCACGACGGGAGCAAAUAAUGUUUAAAACUAACAAUGAUGAUAUUGGAUAAGUUUUACAACUGCCUUUUUAUAUUAAAUCAGAGAAAUCGUGUGAUCUGAGAGAAGUAAAUGCUGCUAAAGAGUUGAAAUUUUACAACUAUGCACUUUAACAACACACUCCCUGUUGUGUCUAUGAGUGUAUGUGCGUGUGCGUACAUGCGCGUGCAUGUGUGUGUGGAAAGACUGUCAGUGAUGUCAAGGAUGAGAAAUGUUGCUGUGAGGUUUUUUACACACGCUGCUGGCUCCAGCAUUUCCGGCAACAUUUCUCACUCUGCCUCCCUCACACCAUCCGCUCUCCUGCAAUAUCCCGACAUUUUUCCGUCCUUUCCGUUCUCUUCCCUGCACCCUCCCCUCCUCACUUUCAAUCCCCACUUCAAACUUCCUCUCCUUGUGCCAUCCUACUCAUCCUAAUCUCAGCCCUUUUCCUUUCUCUCUCUCUUUCUCUCUCUCUCUCUCGCUCGCUUUCUCUCUCACACGCACACUCUCUCCACCCACUAUACUCUCUGAUUUGCUUGACACAGAAUGCAACCACCUGUGUCUUUAGGAUGAAUGUGAGGAGUUAUCCACCUUACUCCAGUGAGAGCUGGUUAAGGCAGAAUGCCAGCGUCUGCCGCUUCCCACCUUUUUCCCCGAGACUCGCUGCUGUAAUAGACGGUAAUGGCCUAAGACAAAUCAACCCCUUUUCUUGUAAAAAUAGCACCAAAUAACCCAACCCACCUUAACAGCUUGCACUCUACUUGGAAGCACAUCAGGUGGUGGUGCAGUGGCAGUGGUGGGUACCGGGAGAGGCCAGUGUAUGUGUGCGGGGGGUCUGUUCAAUUUAUCCUCAUAUUCAGUUUCUAUCACUCUAUCUGGCUACAUUUCGGUACCACCCUCCCUCUUCAUUCAGAGCCGAGGCCAGAGGAGACCCUCCUGUCGCUUUAACAAAGCCAUAAGUCUGCCAUACUUACUGCUCCCUCUCAGGCUUCACAAUGGAUGGGUAAUGGCAGCGCUGUCUGGAGGGGGCUGCGGGAGUUGGGCCAUUCUCUCCAGUAAUGGAAGCUGUUACUGCCAUUCCUUACACACCUGCAAGAACAGCUAACUGCUAACCACUGUGAUCUAUUGCAGAGGCCUCAUUGCACCGGGCUAAGGUUGAAGGGUUGUACUGACACCAGUGAAUUAGGGCACAUCCUUCCCCCCGGCCCCUGCCUGUCUUCCCUUUCUAUUUCACACCAAAACCUAUGGAGGAGCAAUGGAGAUAUUUCCAAGCAAAUCUAUAGCCCCAGAGUCCACAUUGGUGCAGCUUUCAGCCUCACAUACUGGCGAUCUAGCAUUCCUGACAUCCGCUGAUUUAACACAGACAUAAGAUGCUGUCACAUCUUUACUACUCUGUCACUGCCUUGAACGAUGGGAAAUCCAAACUGCCUGUAACAUUAAGAACACCACUACAGGCUGACUGUCCUUGAAUGCUUUCCAGUCCCGCAGAGAUUUAUGAGCUGAACCGCAUCCAUUAAUCCACUGUUGAUUUGCUGUGGCUACCCUGCGGGGUUUUUGGGGAUCAGAUAUCAUACAGUGCUGAAACUCACCCUGUUGUGCAAGACGGUGGAAAGCAGCUCUUUUACAAGAGCUGAAAAAAAAAUGAAUGGAUAAAUUUAAAAUUCAUUGCAUAUUCUACGUCUCUGCAUGUUCAACCUGAUAGAUACGGGCUUAUGACAGAAAAACACUGUCACUUAGAUUAUAAAUGAGAAUGUAAAACAGAGUGAUGAGCCAUACAAACCUCAGUAUGGGUGAGUGAAAGCUGAUGCACGAUGCAAUAAUGACCCAGGCUUAGGGGAAAUCUCAUUGGCUCCCUGCAAUCAAUUUAACCAUGUUUACAAAGCUACAAUCUAAGGUUUGUGGUUGAAAGAGAGAGAGGGAGACAGAAAGAGAGAGAACACUGGUCACCUGGUGCUCUUCUGGUUAAGCUGGCCUCUCUUGGGUAAACCCUCCAUAAAGCCCCCUCUUGUCUGACACCACCAGGCCCUUCAAACACUCCUCUCAGACAGGGAGGAUUAGGUAAUCUCGACAUGAUACUGUCUUUUUUCUCCAUUUCUAUCAUUUUCUCUCCCUCUCUUUGACACUGGCUCGCCUUCCCCUUCAUUCUCAUACAUUACAUCCUAACUCCCUCUCUCCAGGCUGUUGAAGAGCUUGUUCUGCUCUGGACACAUCUAUCCUCGGGGGCCCUUACGAUCUUAAGUGCCUCCGGAAAAGGUUAGUUGGCAGGUAAUUGUCCAGUUGUGGCUCAGCUUAUCUUAAUUGUGGGUGCUUCAGUGCAACCUAUACUUCCGUUAAUGAAGAGACUUAUGUGACAUAAAGUUAGAGGACAGGAUGAUGGGAGGAUGAAGGUAUUUACAAUUUUAUGUGCAUCUUCUUGCUCAGUUUUUAUGUUUUCUUCCUCCUGAAUUACACCCUUGUAUAUUUUAAGCAGAUGCAAGAGGACAGAGCCCAGCAAAAAUAUUUGUUCCCCUUUAUUACAUUACAACCACAAGUCUCGGUGAAUAUUGAGGGGAUUUUAUAUGAUAGACCAACACAAUGCAGUACAUAAUGUGAACUGGAAUUAAAAUGAUAAAUGGUUUUGAAAGUUCUUGUAACUUGAAAGCUGUAGUGUGCAUUUGUAUUCAAUCGCCUUAUCAAGUCUUACCAGCUUCUAUGUUUUCCACUUGUUGACUGCAUCUCCCACAUGGAUGUCAGAAAACAGAAAAUAUGAUUGCUUUCUAUUUACAAUAGUUUUCUUGUUGCUACUCUUCUAUAUUUGUGGAGUGCCUGACAUAUAACUGUGCUGUGGUCCUGUGGGAGAUGCGGAUCUCUGCAGUUGCCACAGAGUUUCCACCUCUUAGCUAUUAGCUGUCUGGUGUGUUUCCUGAUCUUCAUGACGCUGCUUGGUCACUGAUCUUCCUAAGAAGAACUUUGAAAGCUUCAGUUCAAUUAAAAUCAACUCAGCUAAUUUCUAUAGUACCAUUUUACAACAUGCCAUCUCGAGGCACUUGACAAAAAAGGCAAUUCAAUUCAGUUAUACAUACGUAGCCCGGAUAGUAAAAACAUAAGAGAUGUAUAAGAUAAUAAAUAGCAAGGAUAAGUUCAUUUAUUAUAUCCUUUUAUUUCAAUUAACAUUUCAAAGUUUAUACAAAGUUAGUAAAAAUAUGUUUGCAUUGUUUAAAAUAAGUUAUCUUUACUUUGAGGGGAAUUGCCAGCGAAAAUUGUAUUUUACAGGAGCACGGUCUUUGAAGGUAGCAUAGGUGGAAGACAAAAUAAACAGCGAAGAAGAAAAAAAGAAUUUGAGCGAGAGGUGAUAGCAGAGGAGGAGCAGUUAGCUGGUUUAGAAGUGAGUAAGCUCAGACUUGACGUAAGGAGAAGUUAUAAGAUACAGUAUGCAAGUUAGCAGGACACAGUAGAGUUUCAACGAGAAGCUGUCGGACUGAAUGUUUGUUUUCUUUGCCGCUGUAUUUACUGAGUUAGAGCGAAGCUAGCCUAGCUGUUAGCUAACAUGGACUAAUGUAGGCCGCUGUUUUGCUGCUAGAGUGGAACUUAAAGGGCUACAGAAGAUCGUUACCGGACUGGAUAACGAGAGACGGACUCCAGAUAGUCACUCUGAGCGCCCACGUCCCUCAGAGUACCUCUGGCAACGUGGGAACUGAGGGCCAGUAGAUGUGGAGCACAUGGAAACCACACAACUGCAUCAUUCCUGAACUGCUGUUCUUCGGAUCGCUUUGAGGUUCUUCUGGACACAGGACGAAGUAUUGCCCGGAUUCAUCUGUGGAAAAUCACGAUUACACAAGGUACUGAGUUGUACUUUAAUAUUUUUGCUCAUUGAGUGAAGAGGCUGUGGACCGUGGAGUCGGUGGGACUCCUACAUUCAUGAGGAUCUGAACAGGCCUGCAACGUAGGAUAUACUUUCUGCCGGCAUUAGGUUUAGUUUUACAGUAGUGGGUUAUAUAACUGGUGUUUUACACUGUAUAUGCAGAUUCAUUGUUUUGUUGGAACAAUGCUCUGUUUUUUUUCUGUUUGCCUAAUUAAAGGAGGGUUACUGUGGUCUACUUUACAUGGUGUGUAGUGUAAUUUACUGUAGUAUUGUUCAAUGUUGAUUGAUCCAAAAGCAUUAAAGAGAUAUUCAUAUUAAAUAGUAGAGAGUAUACUGAAGCAAAGAACCCA